rnacentral:rRNA from 1 species
UACUACCCUACGAUUCGGAUUAUUGGGCGUAAGAGCUCGUAGGCGGUUUGUCGCGUCUGCCGUGAAAGUCCGAGGCUCAACCUCGGAUCUGCGGUGGGUACGGGCAGACUAGAGUGAUGUAGGGGAGACUGGAAUUCCUGGUGUAGCGGUGAAAUGCGCAGAUAUCAGGAGGAACACCGAUGGCGAAGGCAGGUCUCUGGGCAUUAACUGACGCUGAGGAGCGAAAGCAUGGGGAGCGAACAGGAUUAGAUACCCUGGUAGUCCAUGCCGUAAACGUUGGGCACUAGGUGUGGGGGACAUUCCACGUUUUCCGCGCCGUAGCUAACGCAUUAAGUGCCCCGCCUGGGGAGUACGGCCGCAAGGCUAAAACUCAAAGGAAUUGACGGGGGCCCGCACAAGCGGCGGAGCAUGCGGAUUAAUUCGAUGCAACGCGAAGAACCUUACCAAGGCUUGACAUGUGCCAGACCGCCGUGGAAACACGGUUUCCCCUUUGGGGCUGGUUCACAGGUGGUGCAUGGUUGUCGUCAGCUCGUGUCGUGAGAUGUUGGGUUAAGUCCCGCAACGAGCGCAACCCUCGUUCUAUGUUGCCAGCACGUGAUGGUGGGGACUCAUAGGAGACUGCCGGGGUCAACUCGGAGGAAGGUGGGGACGACGUCAAAUCAUCAUGCCCCUUAUGUCUUGGGCUUCACGCAUGCUACAAUGGCCGGUACAAUGGGUUGCGAUACUGUGAGGUGGAGCUAAUCCCAAAAAGCCGGUCUCAGUUCGGAUUGGGGUCUGCAACUCGACCCCAUGAAGUCGGAGUCGCUAGUAAUCGCAGAUCAGCAACGCUGCGGUGAAUACGUUCCCGGGCCUUGUACACACCGCCCGUCAAGUCACGAAAGUUGGUAACACCCGAAGCCGGUGGCCUAACCCCUUGUGGGAGGGAGCCGUCGAAGGUGGGACCGGCGAUUGGGACUAAGUCGUAC